rnacentral:rRNA from 1 species
GUGAGGAAUAUUGGUCAAUGGACGCGAGUCUGAACCAGCCAAGUAGCGUGAAGGAUGACUGCCCUAUGGGUUGUAAACUUCUUUUAUAAGGGAAUAAAGUGAGGGACGUGUCCCUUUUUGUAUGUACCUUAUGAAUAAGGAUCGGCUAACUCCGUGCCAGCAGCCGCGGUAAUACGGAGGAUCCAAGCGUUAUCCGGAUUUAUUGGGUUUAAAGGGAGCGUAGGUUGACAUAUAAGUCAGCUGUGAAAGUUUACGGCUCAACCGUGAAAUUGCAGUUGAUACUGUAUGUCUUGAGUGUACAAGAGGUGGGCGAAAUUCGUGGUGUAGCGGUGAAAUGCUUAGAUAUCACGAAGAACUCCAAUUGCGAAGGCAGCUCACUGGGGUACAACUGACACUGAGGCUCGAAAGUGUGGGUAUCAAACAGGAUUAGAUACCCGAGUAGUCC